GAGGACCGUAUUCAUGGAAGAGGAUUGAACAGAAGACUACUGAGUUCUUAAGAGAAAAAUGGCACUUAAGAAAUUGAUGGUGAUAUCAAAGGAAGGUUACUUAUUACUCUUGGACUUUGAUGAUGAGGACGAUGACAUAAAAGUUUCAGAGGAGGCUCUUGCGGAAGAGAUGAAGUAGACAGUAUGUUGGAUAAAUCUGGAGUAAAGAACCCAGCAAUUGGUAAAGAUGAGAAUAUAUCGCCUCAAGUAAAAGGAGAUGAAGACAUGGGAGAUGAAAUUGACAGUAUGUUGGCUACAUCUGGAGAUGUGUGCAGCUGAACAGAGCGUUGAGGAAACGUCAGUGAUUUUAUAACUACUUAUCAUGUUGGGAGAUUGUUGUGAUGAUUGCCUGGACUCUCAGAUGUUACACAGGCUGCAUCAUUGGACUGAAAGUGAAUGGCCCAUGUGUUGCCACUGAUGUGAGCCAUUUGCCUGUUGUGCUUCA
rnacentral:precursor_RNA from 1 species